rnacentral:rRNA from 1 species
GACGAACGCUGGCGGCGUGCUUAACACAUGCAAGUCGAACGAGGGCCCGAAGCUUGCUUCGGUGACCCGAGUGGCGAACGGGUGAGUAACACGUGACCAACCUAUCUCGAGGUGGGGGACAACCCUGGGAAACUGGGGCUAAUACCGCAUAACAUCACUUGCUCGCAUGGGCGGGUGAUCAAAGGGGGCCUCUGCUUGCAAGCUCUCACCUGGAGAGGGGGUCGCGCAGUAUCAGCUUGUUGGUGAGGUAACGGCUCACCAAGGCUACGACGCUUAGCGGAUUUGAGAGGAUGAUCCGUCACAUUGGGACUGAGAUACGGCCCAG